CUACGGGCCGCAGCAGUGAGGAAUAUUGCACAAUGGGGGGAACCCUGAUGCAGCAACGCCGCGUGGAGGAUGACGCAUUUCGGUGUGUAAACUCCUUUUAUAUGUCAAGAAAAUGACGGUAGCAUAUGAAUAAGCACCGGCUAACUCCGUGCCAGCAGCCGCGGUAAUACGGAGGGUGCAAGCGUUACUCGGAAUCACUGGGCGUAAAGGACGCGUAGGCGGGUUGGAAAGUCAGGUGUGAAAUCCUACAGCUUAACUGUAGAACUGCACUUGAAACUUCUAAUCUAGAGUAUGGGAGGGGGAGAUGGAAUUAGUGGUGUAGGGGUAAAAUCCGUAGAUAUCACUAGGAAUACCUAAAGCGAAGGCGAUCUCCCGGAACAUUACUGACGCUAAGGCGUGAAAGCGUGGGGAGCAAACAGGGAUUAGAUACCCUAGUAGUC
rnacentral:rRNA from 1 species